CUCAAACUAAACUACCUUCAGUAACAAAACAGUGAUUUCAAGAUUUUAAAUGGACUGAUUUUGCAAAACUUCCCCCAAAAAUGCCUCUUUGGGUGUUUCCUUAUUAUAACGUUUAGCCUCCCUUGCCAGAACUCGGUGUUACAGAUGAUGGUCUCCGGGGGAAGCUCCAUGUGACGCUCUCUUCUCGGUCAGGUUGAGAAUUGGACUUUGACUUUGAUUCAGUGACUUCAAGGUGGCCAAAACAAGCACACACCAUCACCCCUCCACCACUAUUAAGUAUGGAGAAACCUACUGAAUAUAAACAGAUGGACAAUUCAACUCAAGAGGCUUCACCAACAGAUGGUCCUCUAAAGUGUGAGUCAGAACUCAAAUCUAAACUAAAGAGGGAGCUCCGGUGUGCGUUUGAGGCGAGCACCAAAGGAGAAAGCCCAACCCUUCUGAAUCUGAUAUACACAGAUCUGUACAUCAUAGAGGGAGGGACUGCAGAGGUCACUGAUGAACAUGAGCUCAGACAGAUUGAAAUGGCAUCCAGGAAAUCAGACAGGCAAGAAAAAACAGUCAGACAAGACAAGAUCUUUAAAGGCUCACCUGGAAGAGAAGAACCAAUCAGAACAGUGCUGACAAAGGGAGUGGCUGGCAUUGGGAAAACAGU